AUGGACUUGCCGUGAAGAAUGAGAACAAGCAUGCAGAAAGAAAAGUUCCUUCUUCCGUGUCCUUUUAUCCAGGCUGCCACCAGAAAGUGCCACCCAGAUUCAAGGUGAUUCUUUUUGCUUCAAAUAAUCUAAUCAAAAAAAAUCCUUCACAGAAACAUCGAGCACCUUGUGUUUUAGUUGAUCCUGAAUGCUGUCAAGAUGACAAACAAGACUAUCCAUUAUCCUCCCCAAUCAACCACUAAUGAGCCCUGCUUCCACAAAAGCAUUCUUAUUGGCCCUACCUUGUGCAGGCCGGCACACUCAGGAAUUCCUUUGGUUCUCCUUUUAUCUGCUUGUUCGGUUGUCCUAUCUCUUCCUGCCUUACUGAGGACUUUGUCAUUCUGGUUUCUCUCCUACCUCCUCUGCUUGUGACCUACAUUUUGCACAGUGGCGUCUGGAGAUGGUAUCAUUUGUCCCAUGACUUCCAUAAGUACGUCUCCAGGUCUUGUUACCUACAAGUUCCAGAUCUACAG
rnacentral:lncRNA from 1 species